rnacentral:rRNA from 1 species
AUUGAACGCUGGCGGCAUGCUUUACACAUGCAAGUCGAACGGUAACAGGCCUUCGGGUGCUGACGAGCGGCGAACGGGUGCGUAAUGCAUCGGAACGUGCCCAGAGGUGGGGGAUAACGCAGCGAAAGCUGUGCUAAUACCGCAUGUGAUCUGAGGAUGAAAGCGGGGGACCAAGCAGCAAUGUUUGGCCUCGCGCCUCUGGAGCGGCCGAUGUCAGAUUAGGUAGUUGGUGGGGUAAAGGCCUACCAAGCCGACGAUCUGUAGCUGGUCUGAGAGGACGACCAGCCACACUGGGACUGAGACACGGCCCAGACUCCUACGGGAGGCAGCAGUGGGGAAUUUUGGACAAUGGGCGAAAGCCUGAUCCAGCAAUGCCGCGUGCGGGAAGAAGGCCUUCGGGUUGUAAACCGCUUUUGUACGGAACGAAAAGGCUCUGGCUAAUACCUGGGGCUGAUGACGGUACCGUAAGAAUAAGCACCGGCUAACUACGUG